AGGGAUAUAGCUCAGUGGCACAGCACCUGCCUGGAAAGCACAUAGUCCUGAGUUUGAUUCUCUAUACUCGUA
rnacentral:tRNA from 1 species